CAGUCGCCACGGUAAUACGAAGGGUGCAAGCGUUACUCGGAAUUACUGGGCGUAAAGCGUGCGUAGGUGGUGGUUUAAGUCCGUUGUGAAAGCCCUGGGCUCAACCUGGGAAUUGCAGUGGAUACUGGGUCACUAGAGUGUGGUAGAGGAUAGUGGAAUUUCCGGUGUAGCAGUGAAAUGCGUAGAGAUCGGAAGGAACAUCUGUGGCGAAGGCGACUAUCUGGGCCAACACUGACACUGAGGCACGAAAGCGUGGGGAGCAAACAGGAUUAGAUACCCGAGUAGUCCCUGUCUCUUAUAC
rnacentral:rRNA from 1 species